rnacentral:tRNA from 1 species
UGCGGGGUCGUCUAACGGUCGGACAGUUGCCCUUGGAGCAACCGAUGUAGGUUCGAUUCCUACCCCCGCAG